rnacentral:rRNA from 1 species
GAUGAACGCUGGCGGCGUGCUUAACACAUGCAAGUCGAACGGAAAGGCCCAAGCUUGCUUGGGUACUCGAGUGGCGAACGGGUGAGUAACACGUGGGUGAUCUGCCCUGCACUUCGGGAUAAGCCUGGGAAACUGGGUCUAAUACCGGAUAGGACCACUUCUUGGAUGUUGUGGUGGACAGUUUUUUCGGUGUGGGAUGAGCUCGCGGCCUAUCAGCUUGUUUGUGGGGUAAUGGCCUACCAAGGCGUCGACGGGUAGCCGGCCUGAGAGGGUGUACGGCCACAUUGGGACUGAGAUACGGCCCAGACUCCUACGGGAGGCAGAAGUGGGGAAGAUUGCACAAUGGGCGCAAGCCUGAUGCAGCGACGCCGCGUGGGGGAUGACGGCCUUCGGGUUGUAAACUCCUUUCGCUAGGGACGAAGCGUUUUGUGACGGUACCUGGAGAAGAAGCACCGGCUAACUACGUG